AGAGGCCCUCUGCGGCAGGGGCGGAACGCUUGCCUCGUCACCACGGCGACGAAGCAAGCAUUCUGCCAGGCCACUCAUGCUGCCCGC
rfam:Myotis brandtii contig317360, whole genome shotgun sequence.